rnacentral:tRNA from 1 species
GCACCCAUGGCCUAAUGGAUAAGGCGCUUGGCUUCUAAUCAAGCGAUUGUGGGUUCGAGUCCCACUGGGUGUG